UAUACUCGAAAUUAAAUUUCAAAAUGAUGGCACUAUAAUCGAUUUAGGGACUUACUAUACCGCCAAGUCAUCUUAUUUAAGAAUAAUUAAUACAAUAUAUUCUGAGAGUGCAGUAAUAAACUAUUGUGAGAAACUAUUAGAUAAAAAGAGUACAGGCGGGGAAUUACCUGCAACAACUAAAUUUUGCGAAAAUUAUUAAGAAAUAAGUAGAUCACGAUUAUAAAGCAAUAAAGAUUAUACAUAAAUAACUAAUAUCAAAAAUUCCUUUAAAG